UUAAUGCGCGCAGCCUGAUCUAGCCAUGCCGCGUGAGUGAUGAAGGCCUUAGGGUCGUAAAGCUCUUUCGCCUGUGAUGAUAAUGACAGUAGCAGGUAAAGAAACCCCGGCUAACUCCGUGCCAGCAGCCGCGGUAAUACGGAGGGGGUUAGCGUUGUUCGGAAUUACUGGGCGUAAAGCGCGCGUAGGCGGAUUAGAAAGUUGGGGGUGAAAUCCCGGGGCUCAACCUCGGAACUGCCUCCAAAACUGCUAGUCUAGAGUUCGAGAGAGGUGAGUGGAAUUCCGAGUGUAGAGGUGAAAUUCGUAGAUAUUCGGAGGAACACCAGUGGCGAAGGCGGCUCACUGGCUCGAUACUGACGCUGAGGUGCGAAAGUGUGGGGAGCAAACAGGAUUAGAUACCCUGGUAGUCCACACCGUAAACGAUGAAUGCCAGUCGUCGGGUAGUAUACUAUUCGGUGACACACCUAACGGAUUAAGCAUUCCGCCUGGGGAGUACGGUCGCAAGAUUAAAACUCAAAGGAAUUGACGGA
rnacentral:rRNA from 1 species